GAUGAACGCUAGCUACAGGCUUAACACAUGCAAGUCGAGGGGAAACGAUAUUGGAAGCUUGCUUCCGAUAGGCGUCGACCGGCGCACGGGUGAGUAACGCGUAUCCAACCCGCCCAUCACUUGGGGAUAACCUUGCGAAAGUAAGACUAAUACCCAAUGACGUCUCUAGAAGACAUCUGAAAGAGAUUAAAGAUUUAUCGGUGAUGGAGGGGGAUGCGUCUGAUUAGCUUGUUGGCGGGGUAACGGCCCACCAAGGCGACGAUCAGUAGGGGUUCUGAGAGGAAGGUCCCCCACAUUGGAACUGAGACACGGUCCAAACUCCUACGGGAGGCAGCAGUGAGGAAUAUUGGUCAAUGGGCGAGAGCCUGAACCAGCCAAGUAGCGUGCAGGAUGACGGCCCUAUGGGUUGUAAACUGCUUUUAUAAGGGAAUAAAGUGGGAGUCGUGACUCCUUUUGCAUGUACCUUAUGAAUAAGGACCGGCUAAUUCCGUGCCAGCCGCCGCAGUAA
rnacentral:rRNA from 1 species